UACAGAGGUCUCAAGCGUUGUUCGGAUUCAUUGGGCGUAAAGGGUGCGUAGGUGGUCGGGUCAGUCUGAGGUGAAAUCUCCGAGCUUAACUCGGAAACUGCCUUGGAUACUAUUCGGCUGGAGGGUUGGAGGGGGGACUGGAAUUCUCGGUGUAGCAGUGAAAUGCGUAGAUAUCGAGAGGAACACCAGUGGCGAAGGCGAGUCCCUGGACAACUCCUGACACUGAGGCGCGAAAGCCAGGGGAGCGAACGGG
rnacentral:rRNA from 1 species